UAAUAGCGUAUAUUAAAGUUGUUGCGGUUAAAAAGCUCGUAGUUGGAUUUCUGCUGAGAACGACCGGUCCGCCCUCUGGGUGUGUAUCUGGCUCUUUCUUGGCAUCUUCUUGGUGAACGUUGCUGCACUUGACUGUGUGGAGCGCUACCCAGGACUUUUACUUUGAGGAAAUUAGAGUGUUUCAAGCAGGCAUACGCCUUGAAUACAUUAGCAUGGAAUAAUAAGAUAGGACCUCGGUUCUAUUUUGUUGGUUUCUAGAGCUGAGGUAAUGAUUAAUAGGGAUAGUUGGGGGCAUUCGUAUUUAACUGUCAGAGGUGAAAUUCAUGGACUUGUUAAAGACGGACUACUGCGAAAGCAUUUGCCAAGGAUGUUUUCAUUGA
rnacentral:rRNA from 1 species